UCACUGCUAAAAUGAUAAAAGAAUAUACACCAGCAAUCAGUGGUAGAGUUGGAGUUGGGUGUUAUGAGCAGAGAUGAUACAGGGGCGCUUGCAUCCCAGAAAGAAACAACUGAAGCUGCUGAUUUUGGGGAGGGCCCGCUUAAGACCGAGAGCCACUGAUGAGUGGGACGAAUAGUGCUUGUUUGAUUGAAUCAAUUUCGACAUUAUUGUAAACAUAACUUAAGCAUA